CCUACGGGAGGCAGCAGUGGGGAAUAUUGGACAAUGGGGGGAACCCUGAUCCAGCCAUGCCGCGUGUGUGAAGAAGGCCCUCGGGUUGUAAAGCACUUUCAGUGAGGAAGAACGCCUGGUGGUUAAUACCCAUCAGGAAAGACAUCACUCACAGAAGAAGCACCGGCUAACUCCGUGCCAGCAGCCGCGGUAAUACGGAGGGUGCGAGCGUUAAUCGGAAUUACUGGGCGUAAAGCGCGCGUAGGUGGCUUGAUAAGCCGGUUGUGAAAGCCCCGGGCUCAACCUGGGAACGGCAUCCGGAACUGUCAGACUAGAGUGCAGGAGAGGAAGGUAGAAUUCCCGGUGUAGCGGUGAAAUGCGUAGAGAUCGGGAGGAAUACCAGUGGCGAAGGCGGCCUUCUGGACUGACACUGACACUGAGGUGCGAAAGCGUGGGUAGCAAACAGGAUUAGAUACUCCAGUAGUC
rnacentral:rRNA from 1 species